CAGCAGCCGCGGUAAUACGAAGGGGGCUAGCGUUACUCGGAAUUACUGGGCGUAAGGGCGCGUAGGCGGCACGAUUAGUCAGGCGUGAAAUUCCUGGGCUCAACCUGGGGACUGCGCUUGAUACGGUCGAGCUAGAGGAUGGAAGAGGGUUGUGGAAUUCCCAGUGUAGAGGUGAAAUUCGUAGAUAUUGGGAAGAACACCGGUGGCGAAGGCGGCAACCUGGUCCAUUACUGACGCUGAGGCGCGACAGCGUGGGGAGCAAACAGGAUUAGAUACCCGCGUAGUCCCUGUCUCUUAUACA
rnacentral:rRNA from 1 species